GCACUUAUUGAGCAAUCGGAUGCUCACUUGCCUUCGAAGCAAGCGUCAUUGUGACAUUGCAGGUUCGAAUCCUGCUAGGUGUACCA
rnacentral:tRNA from 1 species